rnacentral:rRNA from 1 species
AUUGAACGCUGGCGGCAGGCCUAACACAUGCAAGUCGAGCGGAUGAGAGGAGCUUGCUUCUCGAUUCAGCGGCGGACGGGUGAGUAAUGCCUAGGAAUCUGCCUGGUAGUGGGGGACAACGUUUCGAAAGGAACGCUAAUACCGCAUACGUCCUACGGGAGAAAGCAGGGGACCUUCGGGCAUUGCGCUAUCAGAUGAGCCUAGGUCGGAUUAGCUAGUUGGUGAGGUAAUGGCUCACCAAGGCGACGAUCCGUAACUGGUCUGAGAGGAUGUACAGUAUCCCUGGAACCGCGACACGGUCCAGACUCCUACGGGAGGCAGCAGUGGGGAAUAUUGGACAAAGGGCGAAAGCCUGAUCCAGCCAUGCCGCGUGUGUGAAGAAGGUCUUCGGAUUGUAAAGCACUUUAAGUUGGGAGGAAGGGUUGUAGAUUAAUACUCUGCAAUUUUGACGUUACCGACAGGAUAAGCACCGGCUAACUCUGUGCCAGCCGCCGCGGUAAUAC